rnacentral:rRNA from 1 species
UACGUAGGGUGCGAGCGUUAAUCGGAUUUACUGGGCGUAAAGCGUGCGCAGGCGGUUCGGUAAGACAGAUGUGAAAUCCCUGGGCUCAACUUAGGAAUUGCGCUUGUGACUGGCGGGCUCGAGUACGGUAGAGGGGGGUGGAAUUCCUGGUGUAGCAGUGAAAUGCGUAGAGAUCAGGAGGAACACCGAUGGCGAAGGCAGCCCCCUGGGACUGUACUGACGCUCAUGCACGAAAGCGUGGGGAGCAAACAGG